AAAGCGUGCGCAGGCGGUUUGUAAGACUGUCGUGAAAUCCCCGGGCUCAACCUGGGAAUGGCGAUGGUGACUGCAAGGCUAGAGUUUGGCAGAGGGGGGUAGAAUUCCACGUGUAGACAGUGAAAUGCGUAGAUAUGUGGAGGAACACCGAUGGCGAAGGCAGCCCCCUGGGUCAAAACUGACGCUCAUGCACGAAAGCGUGGGGAGCAAACAGGAUUAGAUACCCCAGU
rnacentral:rRNA from 1 species